UUCUAAUAGAAAUAUUUAUUAGUAAAAUCUGCUCAAUGAAAUUUUUAAAUAGCCGCAAUUAUUUUUGUGCUAAGGUAGCAUAAUCAUUUGUCUUUUAAUUAAAGACUAGAACGAAAGAUAUUACAUUUAAACUUCUAUACUAAUCUAAAUUUACAAAUUAUUUUAAGUAUAAAAAAAUACUUAUAUAUAAAAAAGACGAUAAGACCCUAUUAAACUUAACUUUAGUUUAACUGGGGUAGUUAAUUAAUUAUUAUUUUAAUUUAAAUAAAAAGAAAAAUGAUCUUAAAAAUUAAAUUAAAUAAUCAAGUUACUAUAGGGAUAACAGCGUAAUUAUUAUUUAAAGCUCUUAUAAUAAAAAUAGAUUACGACCUCGAUGUUGAAUAAUUAUUCUAGUAAAUGCAAUAAUUUAAUUUUUAAGAAAGUCUGUUCGACUUUUAAUUAAUUACA
rnacentral:rRNA from 1 species